CUUCUCCACUAACAAAGUAGAGUUAGCUAAUAUGUUGUGGGCUAUCUGCGAAACGAUUGGUUAAAGUUUUCAUGAGGCCGACAAAGCGACAAUAAAACGUAAAUCAAUCCGCAAUGGGGGUUAAACAAUUAGCAUCCCCCUCCUCCCCCCGUAUUAAAUACAUUUAGAAGUAAAAGGGGGAUUGAACAAUAAACAGUACCACGGAUAAAUACAUACUGAGCAACUAUUCCUCAGAAUGCAAAACCUGGUUAACUUUAACGGACAUUUUUUAAAGGAACUAUUUUGUUUCCUAAUCAAUCUUACGUCGUGCGAUAAAUUCCCACACCAGGUCUCAUCAUCGCCAGUUUUUGUAUUACUGUUAUUAUUUUAAAUCCGUAACAUAAGAAGUGUUAAAUGCAAUCAACGCAGCAGAUUAUUCUUGCGAUAUUUGUACUUGAUGGGUACGAGAAGCUGGUGAGUUCCAGGAAGAAAAGAGCCAAGAAAGAUUUUGUAUCAUCAGCUAAGGACAAAGCGUGAAUUAAUGUUCGAAAACUAAGUACAAUUAGUGAAAUGCGAAUACUCAGACAAAAUUCGGUUCCAAACUGACAGCAAAGGCGAACGAAUUGAAGAUUAUCAGCGGAAACUCGCUCAACUUAUACUUUGAUAUGUAAACGAACAAAAUAACAAAUCGAUUAGGGCAAGACUGAAGCUUCUUCGUCCACAGGCAAUAAUCUCACUGGAAGCUUGCCUAAUGUCUUUCUGCAACUGGAUACCUCCAGUUUAAAAGCCUAUGAGUUAUAUUCAGAUGUAUCUUACCGGAGUAUUAUUGACCCAGACUAUAUUUUUGAUAUACAGCAAUAUUGUGAUAGACUGAACAAUCGUCGUUAAUGAUAAAGUGGUAACAACAUUAUCUUUUAUGACUAGACAUAUUAUGCUAAAUUUAAAAAAACAACACAACUACUUCACACUACAAGACUUGAUAACAUAACAUUGGAGGACUGAAGAGCGCUCUCAACUGGGAAUGGAAGAGAGUUAUCGUCCCUCGAUCAUAACACAAAUGUAUAAAAGCUGUUACACUGAAUUAAUAUGAUACAGAAAUAAAUCGUCUUGUAUAUCGACA